UACGUAGGGUGCAAGCGUUAAUCGGAAUUACUGGGCGUAAAGGGUGCGUAGGCGGUUGGUUAAGUCUGGUGUGAAAUCCCCGGGCUCAACCUGGGAAUGGCAAUGGAUACUGGCUGGCUAGAGUGUGUCAGAGGAUGGUGGAAUUCCCGGUGUAGCGGUGAAAUGCGUAGAGAUCGGGAGGAACAUCAGUGGCGAAGGCGGCCAUCUGGGACAACACUGACGCUGAAGCACGAAAGCGUGGGGAGCAAACAGG
rnacentral:rRNA from 1 species